AACGGUGUAGCUCAAAUGGUAGAGCGGCAGAUUUUUUUUGAUCUGUGCGUUACUGGUUCGAAUCCAGUCACCGUGGCCA
rnacentral:tRNA from 2 species